rnacentral:misc_RNA from 1 species
GUUGAGUCACGGGUCGAUUUAAUCACGACUUAUGAGUGACGAUAUACUUGAUGUCGAAGGCAUUGUAACCCAACAAGUGGGGAGUUUAAUUUGGUUGGGACAAAUUAAACGAUCUGCGGUAGCAUCGAUAAUGAUGUGGUGUGGUUGGAAGUUGGGCCAUGCCCAGAUGUUGUUGUUACUUUUGUGGUGGUUUGCUGUGUUGUUGUUGAUGACGUUCCUCUCAAGGUGAUGCGUGUCGUGUUACCUGUGUAUCCUUGUUUCGAGCUAUUUAGCUUAAAACAGGUUGAUUAUCGGUUUAGUGACACGUCAUCGCUCCCUUGGUUGAUGAAAGUCGUCCAAUGAUGUGGUGGUUUUUUUGGUUUCUUCUCGCAUCGGUCGGUGCAUUCUGUAGUCAUUAUGGCUGUUGGUAGCUUGCUUGGCAAUUGAGCUUGGUGGGUUGCUACUGGUGUGGUGUCUACGGGAACGUAUAUCGUAAAGGUGCAUGAGUGGUGUUUGGUUUGUUACGGGUGGUUGGCUCUUUGCUUGCGCAACAACUUCUACCUGUCAUUCCUCUUCAGUCUUGUGUCAAUGCUUCUAUUGCAUUGAAUGCACGGUGGGUUUCUUGUGUUGCUUGCCUAAUUAAUGGUAUCGUUUGAUGAAUUGGUAUUUCUUUCGUCUUGUGUCGCCUAAGCGAUGUGAGAUGAACCUUGAAGCAGCCUUUGUGAUCCACUCUUUUGAUGCAUACGCAUUGAUUUUGUGGCCCAUUGAGUGUUGCUUGGUCUCAUGGAUAUGGAACCUGGUGUGGGCAUGGAAUCUUAACGGUUCCUUGUUUGCCCAACUUUAGCUUUUCUAAAACGAUUGUCU